rnacentral:piRNA from 1 species
AGGUGAAGUCUAGAGCACGUGGGAGC